rnacentral:misc_RNA from 1 species
AAGUCGUAACAAGGUUUCCGUAGGUGAACCUGCGGAAGGAUCAUUAUAGAAUAUUCUUGAUGGGUUGUAGCUGGCUCUACGGGGCAUGUGCACACUUGUCUUGACUUUAUUCAUCCACCUGUGCACCUUUUGUAGUCUUGGGGGUUGAGAGCAGUCGACUAUCGGAUGGGCUAUGGCCUUUCCGGACGUGAGGAAUGCUGAGUGCGAAAGCAUACAGCUCUUCUCAAAUGACUUGCGAAACCUCUCCCUCGAGUACUAUGUAUUCAUAUACCACAUAGUAUGUCGUAGAAUGUGAUCAAUGGGAUAAUCAUAUACAACUUUCAGCAACGGAUCUCUUGGCUCUC